rnacentral:rRNA from 1 species
GAUGAACGCUGGCGGCAUGCCUUACACAUGCAAGUCGAACGGUAACGCGGGGCAACCUGGCGACGAGUGGCGAACGGGGGAGUAAUGCAUCGGAACGUGCCCGGUAGUGGGGGAUAACUGCUCGAAAGAGCAGCUAAUACCGCAUACGACCUGAGGGUGAAAGGGGGGGAUCGCAAGACCUCUCGCUAUCGGAGCGGCCGAUGUCGGAUUAGCUAGUUGGUGGGGUAAAGGCCCACCAAGGCAACGAUCCGUAGCUGGUCUGAGAGGACGACCAGCCACACUGGGACUGAGAAACGGCCCAGACUCCUACGGGAGGCAGCAGUGGGGAAUUUUGGACAAUGGACGCAAGUCUGAUCCAGCCAUGCCGCGUGCGGGAAGAAGGCCUUCGGGUUGUAUACCGCUUUUGUCAGGGAAGAAAUCUUCUGGGUUAAUACCUCGGGAGGAUGACGGUACCUGAAGAAUAAGCACCGGCUAACUACGUGCCAGCCGCCGCGGUAAAAC